rnacentral:rRNA from 1 species
UACGUAGGGACCAAGCGUUGUUCGGAAUUACUGGGCGUAAAGGGCCAGUAGGCGGCCAACUAAGUCCGACGUGAAAUCCCCAGGCUUAACCUGGGAACUGCGUCGGAUACUGGAUGGCUUGAGUUCGGGAGAGGGAUGCGGAAUUCCAGGUGUAGCGGUGAAAUGCGUAGAUAUCUGGAGGAACACCGGUGGCGAAGGCGGCAUCCUGGACCGACACUGACGCUGAGGAGCGAAAGCCAGGGGAGCAAACGGG